rnacentral:rRNA from 1 species
GGGCGUAAAGCGUGCGCAGGCGGCUGGCUAAGUCUGAUGUGAAAUCCCCGGGCUCAACCUGGGAAUUGCAUUCGAUACUGGUCAGCUAGAGUNUGGUAGAGGUAAGCGGAAUUCCGGGUGUAGCGGUGAAAUGCGUAGAUAUCCGGAGGAACAUCAGUGGCGAAGGCGGCUUACUGGACCACUACUGACGCUCAGGCACGAAAGCGUGGGUAGCAAACAGGAUUAGAUACCCUGGUAGUCCACGCCCUAAACUAUGUCCACUAGCCGU